rnacentral:rRNA from 1 species
UGAGGAAUAUUGGUCAAUGGGCGCAAGCCUGAACCAGCCAUCCCGCGUGCAGGAAGACGGCCCUAUGGGUUGUAAACUGCUUUUCCAGGGGGAGAAUUUUUCUGUCGUGACAGGGAUUGACGGUACCCUGGGAAUAAGCAUCGGCUAACUCCGUGCCAGCAGCCGCGGUAAUACGGAGGAUGCCAGCGUUAUCCGGAUUUAUUGGGUUUAAAGGGUGCGUAGGCGGAUUGAUAAGUCAGUGGUGAAAACCUGCAGCUUAACUGUAGACCUGCCGUUGAUACUGUCAGUCUUGAGUGUGGUCAAGGUAAGCGGAAUGUGUAAUGUAGCGGUGAAAUGCUUAGAUAUUACACAGAACACCGAUUGCGAAGGCAGCUUACUGGGCCAUUACUGACGCUGAUGCACGAAAGCGUGGGGAUCGAACAGG